CCUACGGGAGGCUGCAGUGAGGAAUAUUGGUCAAUGGGCGCGAGCCUGAACCAGCCAAGUCGCGUGAGGGAGGACGGCCCUACGGGUUGUAAACCUCUUUUGCCGGGGAGCAACGGGCGUCACGUGUGGCGCCACUGAGAGUACCCGGAGAAAAAGCAUCGGCUAACUCCGUGCCAGCAGCCGCGGUAAUACGGAGGAUGCGAGCGUUAUCCGGAUUUAUUGGGUUUAAAGGGUGCGUAGGCGGAAGGUUAAGUCAGCGGUCAAAUGUCGGUGCUCAACACCGGCCUGCCGUUGAAACUGGUCUUCUUGAGUGAGCGAGAAGUAUGCGGAAUGCGUGGUGUAGCGGUGAAAUGCAUAGAUAUCACGCAGAACUCCGAUUGCGAAGGCAGCAUACCGGCGCUCAACUGACGCUGAGGCACGAAAGCGUGGGGAUCGAACAGGAUUAGAUACCCCAGUAGUC
rnacentral:rRNA from 1 species